AUGGUGGGAGCGGAGCGAGCGCUGGAGCCGGGUGGCCCCGCCCCCGGGGCCGCCUCCCGCCUCGGCGCGGCAGAGCUCCGCCCCUCUGCAGAAUCACCUCAGCGGGGCGGGGUCUCCUCGCCUCGGGCGGCGGGGACUCCCAGGAGACCCGGCCGGGGGCUCCCCGCCCCCUCCUCAACUUUUCGCAGCGGACUCUCCAAAGACUCUUCCCACUGCUUCUCAGUAGUGUAUGGAAACGUGAAAGGGUCAAACAACAGAAGUGCACCGAGAAACCUUGUUGUUGCACCUGUGAUUAUCAAGAACAGAAACCUACGGCCAAAAUGAAAAUGCAAAAGUAAGUACAUUUUACAGGUUGAUAGCUAAGAACAAAUCACCCAAUCCCUUUACAACUUCAUUUUUUUAAGACAUCUGCAGGUCUUCCUAACCUCAAACUCCCUUUUACCCAAGCUUCUCCUUUUUGAGCAGAAACACUUGCAUUAAUACUGCCAAGAAAAAGAUCCUCAGAUCAAAUGAAGACAUUUCCCAAGGACCUACAUUUUGCAAGAGGGUAACCUACAUGUUGUCCCAGACAACUGUUAAAAGUUAUUGUUAUGUAGUAAUAUAUGUCCCAUUUCUGCUGUGUAUGUUGCCAAAGCCUCUCCAGUCCUCAUUUUUACCAGACCUUUUUUUUUUUUUUGGCUUUUUGAGACAGGGUCUCACUAUGUAGUUCAGACUGGCCUUGAACUCAGACUCACUGUGUAGCCCAGGCUGGCCUCAAACUUGCAGCAAUCCUCCUGCCUCAGCCUCAUGAGUGCUGAAAUUCCAGGUGUGUGUCACCACAUCCGCCCAGGGCCACAUCCUUCUUUUUGUUUCAGAUCCUCCUUACAGUUACAUUUAAAAGAAAAAUGACUGUUUCUAUGACUUUGUAGCCAGUGGGCUUUUUUUUUUUUUAAAUCUGUUUUCAG
rnacentral:lncRNA from 1 species